CCCUCCUCCCUCUGCUCCUCCUCCAGUGGCCGCUCCUGUGCUCGCUAGGGCGGCGGAGAGACCUAGAGGAAAGGGCGGAGGAGGAAAAGGGUGGGGAAAGGAGAGCAGGUGUCUGGCUAAGAGGUGGGCUCACUCACUGGAGCCCCCAGCGUCAAGGGGGCUGGGCUCGGUCUUAGGGGGUGAAGCCGGAGGAGGAGGACAUACCCGGAGGUGGAAGACGUGAGGCUGGUACACUGUAUGUCCCACCCGGGGCGGGAAGCUUUGGCUAUCACAGUGUGGCUGCAAGAUGGGUGGUCAGGGAUCCUGAGCAAUCUAAGACCACAGCUUUGAGAACCUGCAGAGGUGACUGGGAUGGCAGGACACUGAUCUGAUACGUAGAUGUGGAAGGGACCCAGUGUCUGAGGAGCUGAGCCAGACAGAUCUCUCUGCUGUGGUGGUGGAGAGCUAGACCCAGAGCGUGAAAGGGGGCACACAGGUGCCCAGAGAGGCCACGUUGACUUCAGUAUGCCAGAAUUGAAGUUAUCCCUCCAGUGACACCAGCCUCCCUCAUUUACAUAUGUCUGGGUGAAGACUCAAAGAGCAAAGGGAGUUCCUGAUGGACCGUGCUGCUGCCCAUCCGGGAGUCAUGAAGUCAGACCUCCACACUCUCUGCUCCUCGGAGGGAGGGAUUAUGAAUUCCCACAAUGACUGUCAUACCUGGGAUGAUGAUGAAGUGGCUGCAAGCAGGUCGGCUUCACAGAACACAGAAUAACGACAGUUCCCCGAAGUCCAGGUCUACAGCAAGAGUGGUGUCAGUUACCAAAGGAAAAACUAUGUGUGUACCGUCUGGAAGAAAGAAACCAGGAGUUCUGAGCCUUUUGCAUGAACUUAAGAGGAAGACAGGGAGGCUAUAACAGAUGAGUUCUGAAUUAAUUCCCCAAACAGGAAGGAAGAAAUCUUCCGCCUUAAACGUGAUGCACAUGAAAGGUCACUCUUUCCUUGUAGAAGCCAAGAAGCCAGAUGACACGACAGAGUUCCAGCAAGAUAAGAAAGAAGAAAGGCCGAGGGAAAGCAGACAAAGGAGAUGACAUACACAACAGAAGCAGGGGUCGCCGUGGGAUUUUGUGGCUUGUGUGGACAGUGCCAAGAGUAAGAGGUGCAGCGCCAGGGUUGGUCCUCCAGGGGGUGGUAGGAAUUCCUCCACAUUGUAUUUCAGACAUCACGUGUCUGUUCACUUGCUCACUUGGCCUGCAGUUGGCAGUUGUCUAAUCUUUGUUGUCUUUGGCUUGUGUGUUUCCUUCCCUUUCCCAAGGUUCAGAUUAACACAGAGUUUCAUAGCUUCAGUGUUUACUAAGCUUCCCCAUAUUAUGCGGACCAGGUUAGGAACAUGGGCAUAUGGUAGAUAUGGGCCAUACUCUCAAGGAGCUUGGGGUUAUUUGGGGAGAAAAAUUGCAAAGCAUGGAUUCUAUGAUAUGCUAAUGGGCAAUGGGGUAUUAGAAGCAAAUAACUGUGGUAAUUCUAGCAGCAGCAUGGGGUGGGCAUCCAGUGCUUAUAGCAACGAUGUGACUGAAUCAUCAUGAAACAUAACUGUGUUUAAUACACCAUAUUUAAGGAGGCAGGAUAUGAGUAAUUCUUGUUUUGAAAAUAUUCCAUUUAAAAUGAUGAAAGCUAAAGAAUUAAUUUCCCUGGUUUGGUUAGGUAGAAAACCCAUUAAUUUCCAGUGGAACACCUUAUUCUCUGAUACAUCAAAUAAAUGAGGCAUUGCUAAAGUGGCAGAUGAGAAAUACAAAACAGGGAGUACGGUUUGAAGACCCGAGAACGGAACAGAAAUCUGUCCCUACCAGAGUGCUUCCUGAUAAUCAGCCACUUUUGGAGUGAGUCUUCCUUGAUAUGUGAUUUAAUCUUCUCAGCAGCCUCGCUCAGCUGGCAAAACUCAUGUUGUUCUCUUUGUGUCUGAUGGCACAGCUGAAAGCACAGGGGCCUGUUACCGGUCCAAGGUUCCAUAGUAAGUUACCCCGUGAGAGGUGAAAUGACAGCUCCUUCACACACAGGCAUCCACAUGCACUCACGCAUACACACACACACACACACACACACACACACACACACACACACACACACACACACAGAGGCAUGCACAUACACACACACACACACACACACACACACAGAGGCAUGCCCAUGUACUCAUGCACAUACACACACAGGUAUGCACAUGCACUCACAUGUACACAGGCAUGCACAUGCACUCACACACACACACACAGGCAUGCACAUGCACUCAUGCACACACACAGGCAUGCACAUGCACUCACACACACAGGCAUGCACAUGCACUCAUGCACAUACACCGGUGUGCCCAUACACUCAUGCACACAAACACACACAGGUAUGCACAUGCACUCACACACACAGGCAUGCACAAGCACUCAUGCAUACACACAAGUGUGCACAUGCACUCACAUAUACACACACAGGCAUGCAUAUGCACGUGAACUCACACACACUCACACACACACACACACCCAUAUACAUUCACACUCAUGCACAAAGUCACCCCCAUAUAUAUAUAUGGGGUAUAUAUACAUAUAUAUAUAUGUAUAUAUUAAGAGCUAGAGCAAAUGUCUAAGAAGUGAUGUGGGUUCAGACCAUCUGGAUAUAAAAUGCACAGCUAGAACAUAAUUGCUCUACCAUCACCUCUCCCUUUUCCUCUUCAUUUUCCCUGCUUUCUUUCUCUAUCAAGAUAGACAGAGACAAAAAGGAAAUACCAGAAAGAGAGCUGAGGAGAGAAAACACCAAGGUAGUGAGAAUAAAAGGGACUGAAGAGAAUAAGAGAUAGUUGUAUAGGAAAAUCUUCAUAAAUGUGUAUAAUGUGCCUCUGAUAGAGUCAACGUUUGUAAAUAAUAUCACGCUAAGGAUGCAGUGGAAAUGGUUAUAUAGGUAAGAGUGUUUGCUGAACAGGUGUGAGGAUCUGAGUUCAAAUCCUCAUCACCUAUGUGAAAUUUUGGGCCAGACUAUUCAUGCCUGUAAUCCCAGCACUGGGGCAUAAAGACAAGUGGAUCCCAGGUACUCAGUCAGUGGCCAGCCUAUCCCAAACUGCACGCUUUCAUCAGUGAGAGACCCUGACUUAAAAAGUUAAGGCAGAAAUACAUGGAGGAGGACACCAAGCAUCUUCUACUACCUUGUGCAUGCACACACCUAGGCACAUGCACCCAAACACCUCACCUCUGUGCAUGCAAUGCGCACAACAAUGCACACAUGCUUACUCGUGCAUGCGUACACACACAUACACACACACACACACACACACACACACACACACACACACACACACACACAUACACACACACACAUGCAACACAAAACAAAAACACUGGAAAGCUGGAGACUGGGAAGGGUAAAUGUUGCAAACUAUUUAGACAUUGUCUCUGUUACCAAUCAGGGGAUGUUUAGUCUUCUCUGAGCCAAUAUCUCUAGCUUCAGCACUUGUCUGCUGUUAGUGCUGAGGGCAAUAACCUUCCAAUAUACCUCCUCCCAUCCCGGUCACUGUAAGUGCCACCCAGAGCCCUAUGCUUCAAGCAUGUGAAGAGACUUGAGGCUGACUCUAUUCUGACUCUGCUUGGGCAGGAGAGCUCAUCUGUGGAACCAGCACCCUCUUUCUCCGUGUGACCUGCAAGUACUCAGCCACCUGAAGUGGCCACUUCUCCUCUGCUUAGGCAUGAUCAGAGGGCACAUCUCGCUGGUUCUUGUGAAUGCUCGUGUGAACUUCUUCAUAAAGGGGCUGGCUCACAGUAACUUCUCCAUAACGGUUAGCGUUCAAACCCAGUUGCUCCUUCCCUUUAAAAAAUUAACAUUAUUUGUCCUGCGUCAAGUUUUAGUGAGUUCUCUGACCUAAGUUGUCAUUUUUUUGAACUAUGAAAAAUAAGCCUCAAUCCAGUUCUGCUAUUCAUUAUUUCCUUUUGUUCAACACAGAGAUUGCUCUCUUACAGAUAAGUGGCAAAAAUGCUCGUGGUUGAAAUGCCUGCCUUAAAAAUUUUAUGUGGCUGUGGGCGCAUGCUGUAUUCUCCUGUCAACCGGGGAAGGAUUGCUCCAUGAAUCCAGGGCUAUAAAUUUGGAAUUUACUUUUUAUUUCUCUAAACAAAGUUUAAAAGCAUAUAAUUUGGGAAGUUGGUGUUGAUUAUUAUUUUUAUAUCUAGCACCACAAAUGUGAAGUCAUUAGAACCUUAGUCAUUUAGAACGAUGGAGGAAAAAGAAUAAGAGAUCUACCCAAGAAAAUAUAUGAGAAGAAAUGGAGAUUGAGUCAUUUCAAGGAAGGUUAGCAUUGCAAGCUAAGAUAGAAAUGGGCUUCCUGGGUGGAAGCAUCUCAGCCAGCAGUGCAGUUCAUUAAAAACCACAACACAAAAGAUUCAGAUGGCCUCACACAGCCGCUGGUACAAGCUACUUUGUAACUUAACAAACACAGUUACUAGAAUCAGAAGUAGAGGACUCUAUCAAGCCAACCAAACCAACUUGGGCUUGCUUUGCGUACUCCAAUCAUUUUGUAAAGAAUGAUCUGAAGAAAAUCUAGCAUUUUUUUUAAUUACACGUAAUUUUAGUUGGUUAAUUUUACAUGAAAUUAGUGAAGUGUGAAUGGAUGCGGUUUUAUUGCAUAAUGCAAGUUUAAAGCAGUGGCCUCAUAAAGUAAACAAUUUAAUUCUCUGUUUUAUAUCAUAGCUUUCAAACACCUAGGGCUUUAUUCUCAUUUGUGCUUGGUUAUAGAUAGGCAGAAUUCUUUCAAGGGAGUGUAUUUGCCUUUCAACUCCUUCCACAGAAGCAGCUGUGAAGGGUGGCCAUCAAUAUUAACCUGGGGGCUGGUAUCAGAGAAAUUUCUCCAUUAGGGAGUAGAGCCUCCUGGCAGAAAAUGUUCCUGGGAUCUGGAGGAAGGAUCAACACAACGUAUAUUCAAGCUUCAUUUUCUCUUGCAAAUUUUGUAGAUCUGGAGAAGUCCUUCAAGUCCCCCAUAUGUGAUUCUUCAAUUUUUAUUUUUAGAUAAGAUACCGAAACAUGAACAUUUACCACAGAACCUGCCACAGAUGAUGUCUUAACUUCUGCUGACCUGAAACAGGGGAGGAUUGUCUAUGACUGACUCAUAUUAUAAAGGCUAUCAAGCCCAAAUUUAGAUUACUAGUUCACCUGUAUACUUACUAAUCUAAUGCUUUUUAAGUAUCUAAUAUAGGUGAUUAUUUUUUAAAGUUAGCCUUUGUGUGAGCACGUUGCAAAAUGUUGUUCAAAACCUUCUUGUUAUAAAAAUAUUGCUGAUGUUCAGUGACUGCAUUAUUUAUGUUUUGAAUGACAUUCCUGAACCUUUGAAGGUAACUAAAUUUAUUGCUGUUGAUGUUUCAUGGUAGUUGAGACACCACUGUAAGACAUUUCCACAAACUGCAUUGGCCUAGGUCAACCUGGUCCUAGGCAGCCAGCAUCUGCUUCUUCAAGUCCUAAAGCUUUACUUUCUCUUUGGUUGCCCUCAGAUCCCACAGGAUCCACAUCAUUAAACAAUACAAACAUUUCCUCUAAGCAUGCCUCUACCUCCCUAUGAGCAUCAGCAUCUUCUGAUGUCCUCUUGCCUGGACUAUUAUGCUAGCUUCCCGAAGGGGAGGCUUUCUUCUGCCCCUGUUCUCACAAAACCAGUCCUACAUUGGUUCAAAGAGCCCACCUUGACCCUUGCAAAUCAAACAUCUGAUAAUCAUGUUUCUCUACUGGAAAUGUUCCGCGGCCUUCUCGUCUUGCUUAGGAUAAAAGCUAGAGUCCAGACUCUGACAGGGUGCUCUCCUUACUCUGACCUCCUUCUGUCUCUUUCCUUCAUGUGUGGCCCUUUUGUUUCACCCGCCAUGCCUCAGCCAUGGUAUCUUUAUUCUUGGUUCCUGGACAUGCCAAGUUUGCUGUCCUAGAACCUUUGUCAUAGCUGUUCCUUCUGCAGGGAAGGCGUUCUUUUCAUAGCUACAUCCUUCUUGCCCCUUUGCGUUUCAGUCUAGGGAAUGCUCUGCAACAUCUGCCCACUCACUCUACUGUAUUGCCCAUUAAAUAUCUAGUACAGUAUUUAUCAUAACCUAAUUGUUCUUGUUCAUUAACUUACUAUUCAUUUGUUUACUUCUGUCAACAACUUUGCUUUGCUAGAAUAGAAAGCCUGAGUAGGAAAACCAUCUCUUUCACAUGCCUCUGUGAUGUCUUUUGUAUUAGAACUGUUUGGCAACUCACAACUGUGUUGAAUAAAUGAAUCGAAUGGAAGAAAUUUCAGAUUGCCCGAGGGAAGAAGUUCUCUGACUAAAGUUUUGUCUAAACCAUCUCAAUUCUAAAUUCCACCCAGGAUAAUUCCAUUUCAGAGCUUAGAAAUGUGUGAUGACUUCACUUCCACAUCAGAAAUCCAGGGUAGUUGAACAUUUCAGGAUUCUGUGGCAUAGGCAUCAUUUCUGCAUUGCCACUCAUUUUAUCUCCAGCCUUCUAAUUUCCUUUUCUUUGCCUUAUGUGAAUGUCUUUGGGGAAAAAAAAUCUCAUUCCAUUCAUAUGACAAGUAGAAUUAGUUCUUAUCUUGUACAGGAGAAGAGUGAAUCUCAGAGGGACCAUACAUUUGUGACAGAGUUUUGAACUCAAGUGUGUCAAAUACCAAAGAUGAUAAAGUGGGCUGGAGCAGUGUCUCAGCAGUUAAGAGCAGUGAGUGCUCUUCUACAGGACCCAGAUUCCGUCUCUAAGUACUCAUAGGGCUGCUCACAGACAUCCGUAACUCUAGUCCUAGGUGAUCAGAUGCCCUCUUUUGGUCCCUGGGGACGCUGCACACAUAUGGGUGUGUAGAGAGCCGUGCAUGGCCACGCCUCAAAGAGGGCGCCGGCAUCCGGCUUCCGCCUUCCUGAUGGCAGGUGUUCUCUGGGAUAAACAACUCCUUAUUUGGUUUGGGUGUGGAAUCUGGCUUGCUUGCGUAUGUCUGACCCUAUCGGCGUUGUCCAUGUGGCACUACGGGGUUGGUUGCCCAGUGGCUAUAAAGGGCGUGGGCUGGCUUUCCCGAGUCAGAGAGAGAGAGGAAGUCAGAAGAUGGCUUUCCCCGGGGUCAGAAGAUUGUUCAAGGUUCCUGAAUAAACUGCUUGGAGAAGAGCCUGGUGUUGCGUCUUCCUUGCUGGUCGAGGCAGACGCGACAUGGGUGCACAGACAUUCAUGCAAAAUAUCCAUAUACACAUAAUGAUAAAAUAUAAAAUGUAAAAGAUCACAAAACUUUUCUUUCUUGGAGGAGAUAUCCCAUCAGUGACUAUGGACUCAUUUCAUUGUAGUUCUUAAUGAGCUGGCAAAAUAUUUGCCAAACUACUUUAGUCAGUUGGGAAUUCCUGAAUCCCUGUAGACUUGCUGAAUAAAAAUCUGACUAAGGCUUAAGAAUCUAGUUUUAAGUAUUUUUCCCUCCACAACUCUAAAAACAUUAGGUUUAGAUCAAACAAACAAAUGAAAGAAAAAAACAGGGAGAGACCUGUCAAACGGAACCCAUAUUCUCUUCAGAAGUCUUUGAAAUAUCAUCCAAUAUUAGUCACCUCCGUAGUUUAGUGACUCAGAGAGACUCCAGGACUGCAGGGUGGAUGAAAGCGGUUGCGGACCCUGGAGCUAUUGUUCUAAGAGGAAGUGCAUUAUGUGGAAUUUGCUGGAGAAAUCACAAAGCAUGAGCUAGGGUUUGAGCUUUGUUGUGGAGUGCAUACCAACUGAUGGACUGAGAGAAUGUUUUGAAGUUGCCAGUAGGUCACACUCAAUUGACCUUUGCCCACCAUCUUUUCAAGCUCAUUUAAUUCAUAAGUCAUUCGACAUGAUUUGAAUCAACAAUUAAUCAUUCCAAGCAGAGUGGUUGCAAAGGGCAUUUGACAGGGGUGUUCUUAAAGUUUUAAGGAUUGGUUUUAUAGGCCUAUUCCUACUACGCUGCAACACUGAAAAGUCUGUUUUGUGAUGUAAUCAUGAAGUGAUGACAGAAAAUAAUGUUUUUCAGGGUGUUCUUUAUUGGAGAAUAUAAAAUUUGGUCAAGCCCACCUACCCUAAUAAUAAAAUGCUGACUCUUUCUGUACCUUGAGAAUUGAGCCUUAUCCUGUAAAAAGAGAUAAAUGGCCUCCCAAGGAUUAGAGACUAUGGAAAUUCACAUCUGGUAGCUUGCACCUGGCUAACCUAUUUAUGGAAAAGGUCAUUUUAGUGCUAAAGACGCCCCCUCCCCCAUACUCUGCUGGAGGGAACUGGGCAGCUGUUAGGGAGGUUUGCAUGAUUUUAAACCAUUCUGCUUACAGAAUAAGCUCCUUUAAUAGUGGCUGAGAGGACCAUGACCCUGCAUUUGGUACCACUAUUGCAGGCUGACCACAUUUCCUUCCCUCAAUACUGCAAAGUUAGAAAUUAAACUAUUUCUAUAUUUCACAUAUUAUUGUAUUGCUGACGUUAACAUCAAGAAUAGUUUUUUUUUUGUUUUGUUUUGUUUUUCGAGACAGGGUUUCUCUGUAAGAAUAGUUUUAUUUUAUUCUGUCAAAUACUGUAGUAUGGCUGCUUAUAUUUCAUACUUGUUCUCGUUAGCAAAUUGUGCUUUCUUGAAUGAUUGGCCAUAGCUUGUUAUAAAUUUCUUUUUUUUUUUUCUGUUUUCAAAUUUAAAUGACAAGGCUUGAGUGAAGUGUAUUCAUUCAGCUCACUUGUAGGCAACACAAACCAGGAGAAAUCUACAAAAGUGUUAGUCCUGAGUGCUCAGAUGCUUUCCACAAGAGGCUGUCUCACUGUGCAGGUAAACAGAAGUGGGCUUUGUACAAUUUCAGAGUUUUGAAACGUCUGGAUUCUGUGUGAGGUGUAUGCUGGGCUGGAGGGACUGGAUGUCCUACAUACAGCAACAACCAGGCUGUCUAUCAUCUUCCAUUUCAAGGGUAGCUUUCCAGGCAGAGAAUGGGGCUUAAUAUCACUAUUCUUAUCUCCAACCCACCCAUUUAAGAUGCUGGUAACAUCUGAAAAAUAUGUAUAAUAAUAUCUUUUACUCCUUAAAAAAAACCCACUAUCCCUUACCUUUCCCAUUUCUCUAUUCAGUUUUAAACGGUCUGAAAAGAAAGGCAGGAUCUACCCUGAUAAUGCAGAGAUUUGCUCUUUGAUGUUUAUGGAGCCUAAAGCCUCUGUCACUGCUGACCUGGAUUUCUAGCUUAUCUAUUAAAUGCUGAGCUUUCACAGUCCCUCAUCCUGAGGAGGCAAGUUUGUACUACAAUCAUUUGCUUUUCAUAGACAGCAAAACAUUCCUGUGCCCAAAAAGUCAACCCUUCAGGAGAGAGAAGUUAAGAUUCCUUAAGAUCAUUACAUGCAAUUAUUUUAUGUUUAGCUAAAGUACUUUAAAAAAAAGAUCUUCAAACACACAUUAAAAAAAAAGAUCUUCAAACACACA